AUUGAACGCUGGCGGCAGGCCUAACACAUGCAAGUCGAGCGGACGGCGGACGGGUGAGUAAUGUAUUGGGAUCUGCCCGAUAGAGGGGUAUAACUGCUGUAAACUGUGGCUCAUCCCGCAUACUCUCUUCUGGACCUCUAUGGGAUUAGCGAGUAGGUGGGGUAAAGGCUCACCUAGGCGACGAGCUCUAGCUGGUCUGAGAGGAUGAUCAGCAACACUGGGACUGAGACACGGCCCAGACUCCUACGGGAGGCAGCAGUGGGGAAUAUUGGACAAUGGGCGCAAGCCUGAUGCAGCCAUGCCGCGUGAAUGAAGAAGGCCUUAGGGUUGUAAAGUACUGUCAGUGGGGAGGCGUUACCUGAAGAAGAAGCACCGGCUAACUCCGUGCCAGCAGCCGCGGUAAUUC
rnacentral:rRNA from 1 species